CUCUGUGGAGGCUUCUAGUCCUCGAAAUAAUGUCCAAAGCAGCUUAUCAGCAAUUCUGCAGUAUUAAGGUCUUGCCCCUUCCUUACCUCAGUACUUCAUCUGUUUUCCCUCUCUCCAUUGUUUCCCAUGUUUCAGCCCCAGUGGGCCUCUCUUGGGUUCCUUACACAUCUUUUUCUUUUUUUUUUAAUGUUUAUUUA